rnacentral:rRNA from 1 species
GACAGAGGUGCCGAGCGUUAGGCGGAAUCACUGGGCUUAAAGCGUGUGUAGGCGGACGUCUAAGUACCUUGUGAAAUCCCACGGCUCAACCGUGGAACGGCUUGGUAUACUGGGCGUCUUGAGCCACUUAGGGGUCGUCGGAACUUCCGGUGGAGCGGUGAAAUGCGUAGAUAUCGUAAGGAAGACCAGUGGCGAAGGCGGGUCUCUGGACAGUUCCUGACGCUGAGGCACGAAGGUCAGGGGAGCAAACGGG